AAUCUAUGAUUGUAUUGUAACUUAUUUGCAAAUCAGUAUAUCUAAUCAUAUCUCGGAGAAAGUUAACUGGUUUAUUUGAGGAACGCAUCCUUUUAAGACCCCUUUUAAUGUUUGUAUACUUCUUCACCACAACGAGCCGGAAAUGGAUCUUUAUAUCUAACUAGACGAAUCGUGGGUAGUUCUGGUGAUAGAUUGGCAUAGCGACACAUGCAUUUCCUAUCACGAUAAAAUCAUAAGGAGAGGCUUGCCACGUUAUUGGAAUACUUUGCUAAAAUGUUUAAACGCAAAUGCUUCUAACGAAAGUGCAAUCUCUUUAAUAAAUCUAUAAUGGUUCGAAACUUUUA